UUCUCUCUAAGCCCCCUACAGUGCCAAG
rnacentral:piRNA from 1 species